AUCCGAUCUCGAUGUUUUCUGAUAAGUGUGUGUUCCGAUCCGAUCUCAUUUGUAAUUUGCCUACUUACUGAGAACUGAAAAUGUCUUGGUAAUGGAUAAUGUAACUUUUUCAAGUAUUAAUACUUCAGUUCUUUGUCAUAUUGGUUAUCAAAUUGUUACCUCAGUCCCUCAGUAUUAUUACUUAAGUGAUCUGAUCUGAUGAUUGUUAAGAGACGCUUGAUGAUUACUUAAGUGGUCCGAUCUUCUGAUUAUUAAGAGGCUGUCAUUCAUAUAUGCGUAAACAGAUCAAUACGAUAAGAAAGUAGAAGCAAUAACACUUCGUAAAAAAAAUUCAUUUCAUUCACUUCAAAUUUACAAAAGGUCGAAGCCAUUACAAAAUAAGCCCUACUCUACGGAAGGCUCCUCCCCGCUAGCCUCAGGAGCUACUGAAGCGUCCUCUGCCAGCCUAUCAGGCCGGCCUGCAGUAGGUCCCCCGAACUCUGCCUCUAAAGGGGAGAUGUCCAAAGUAGGGUGGACCUCUUUCAACCGACCCAAUAUUCCUUGGGCACUCUAGGAGGCCCAAAAAUUUGCAAAGUUGUCGUACAGGGGAUGUUCCUCGAAGUGGUCAAUGAAAUUUUUGGGCAAUUUCCUCAGACUGGGCCUCCAUCUUCUGCCACUUUCCCUGCCGACUUCAGCUCCUCCUUCAAGGAGGCAAUUUCCUCAGACUGGGCCUCCAUCUUCUGCCUCAGCUUAGCUUUCUCUUUAUUGGAGGCCUCCAGAGCCUCGGGUCAUGGCAGCCACCUGGCACUCCACUUCAUAGAGCUCCUUCUUCAGUCGCUCUAUGUCUCCAACAGUAGCCGCCAGCUGGGCCUCAGCCUCUGUCCUCCUUUUCUCUUCCUCCCCAACCUUGGCUCGGGCUUCCCUCACCUUGUCCCCAUAUUGCAUCGCCUCCUCGAGGCGCUUGGCGAGGUCCUCCCUCUUGGCGUUGAGGUCUUUCACCAAGCCCUAGAGCUGGAUGCUGGUGCUCAGAGCCCGGGCCACACAUGCACUAUUGGCCGCCACCAGGUCCUCAGCUGUGCAAGAGGCGGUGUGAUCUCUCCAUUCUUCAGUCUAAUACUUAUUGUAGACCAUCCCACUGCAGCCAUUUUUGGGGAGAGAGCCUCCAGUACUUCUUUAACGGGUUCCUCAGAGUUCGAGCCCAGGAAGUCCACCUCCUUUGAGGGAUGGGCUCUUUUCUUCUUACGCUGCCCCAGCACCUGGGCGAGAGGGACGGCAGCAACUAGCGCCUUGGCCGGGUUAGAUGAAGCCUCUGAUGGCGCGGGCGUUCUCUUCGGAAUGGCCACCCCAGUAGGAAUUGUGGUUUGCCUCAGAACGGGGGGUGGCCUCGCCACCAUUAGCCGCUUGGAAGGGGCAGCAGGUUUCUUGCCCUUUCGAAGCAGAUUUGCCUCUGGAUCCUCAGGCACCUCCUCCUCCGUCGGAGGCGGGAGCCUCUUGCUGGCAUCCACUAAGUCCUCCUCUACUUCUUAUAAGAGGAGGAGGAGGUCUUCAAGGCCCUUGCCUCGGCCAUCAUCUUCUGUAUUGUUUUGAAGUCGGGCCGGAAAGGUAUCUUCUUAUUGAAGUUAUCUGGAAGAAACAAGUAAAUUAGUACAAGUGUAAACGACUCGAAAAUAUUCAAAGGUAUUCGCUUCGAGACAUUACCUUGUGAGGCCAUCAGGUCGUGCGUCACAAAAUGAAGGUUCUUUCUGAUCGGCCGAUGGAACGACCUCUUCUUUGGAGGCAGCUGAUAGAUCACGCAGAUGAUCUCGAAAUUGUCGGGGCACAG
rnacentral:lncRNA from 1 species